GCGGCAGGCUUAACACAUGCAAGUCGAACGGUAACAGAAAGUAGCUUGCUACUUUGCUGACGAGUGGCGGACGGGUGAGUAAUGCUUGGGAAUAUGCCUUAUGGUGGGGGACAACAGUUGGAAACGACUGCUAAUACCGCAUAACAUCUCCGGAUCAAAGUGGGGGACCUUCGGGCCUCACGCCAUAAGAGUAGCCCAAGUGGGAUUAGCUAGUUGGUAAGGUAAUGGCUUACCAAGGCGACGAUCCCUAGUUGGUCUUAGAGGAUGACCAGCCACACUGGAACUGAGACACGGUCCAGACUCCUACGGGAGGCAGCAGUGGGGAAUAUUGCACAAUGGGCGCAAGCCUGAUGCAGCCAUGCCGCGUGUGUGAAGAAGGCUUUCGGGUUGUAAAGCACUUUCAGCGAGGAGGAAAGGGUAAAUCUUAAUAGGGUUUAUCUGUGACGUUACUCGCAGAAGAAGCACCGGCUAACUCCGUGCCAGCAGCCGCGGUAAUACGGAGGGUGCGAGCGUUAAUCGGAAUUACUGGGCGUAAAGCGCGCGUAGGCGGUUAAUUAAGUCAGAUGUGAAAUCCCAGGGCUCAACCUUGGAACUGCAUUUGAAACUGGUUAACUAGAGUUUUGUAGAGGGUGGUAGAAUUUCAGGUGUAGCGGUGAAAUGCGUAGAGAUCUGAAGGAAUACCAGUGGCGAAGGCGGCCACCUGGACAAAGACUGACGCUGAGGCGCGAAGGCGUGGGGAGCAAACGGGAUUAGAUACCCCGGUAGUCCACGCAGUAAACGAUGUCUAUUAGAAUUUUGUGGCUAUAUGCCGUGGGAUUCAAAGCUAACGCAUUAAAUAGACCG
rnacentral:rRNA from 1 species